rnacentral:rRNA from 1 species
GGGUGAAGUCAAUGAUCCCAUGCUGCCAAGAAAAGCCUCUAGCGAGCUUCGAGCGGCCCGUACCCCAAACCGACACAGGUGGUCAGGUAGAGAAUACCGAGGCGAUCGGGCGAACUGUGGUUAAGGAACUCGGCAAAUUACCCCCGUAACUUCGGGAGAAGGGGGGCCACAGACUGUCAUACCCCACGCGGGUGGCAGCAGUAGGUGGCCGCAGAGACCAGGGGGAAGCGACUGUUUACUAAAAACACAGGUCCGUGCGAAGUCGUAAGACGAUGUAUACGGACUGACGCCUGCCCGGUGCUGGAACGUUAAGGGGACCGGUUAGUCCGCAAGGGCGAAGCUGAGAACUUAAGCGCCAGUAAACGGCGGUGGUAACUAUAACCAUCCUAAGGUAGCGAAAUUCCCUGUCGGGUAAGUUCCGACCUGCACGAAUGGCGUAACGACUUCCCUACUGUCUCAACCACAGGCCCGGCGAAAUUGCACUACGAGUAAAGAUGCUCGUUACGCGCGGAAGGACGGAAAGACCCCGGGACCUUCACUAUAGCUUGACAUUGGUAUCCGAAUUUAAUUGUGUAGGAUAGGUGGGAGGCUUUGAUCCGCGGACGCCAGUCCGUCGGGGAGCCAACGUUGAAAUACCACUCUGUUGAAUUUGGGUAUCUAACUUCGGACCGUGAUCCGGUUCAGGGACAGUGUCUGGUGGGUAGUUUAACUGGGGCGGUUGCCUCCUAAAAUGUAACGGAGGCGCCCAAAGGUUCCCUCAGCCUGGUUGGCAAUCAGGUGUUGAGUGCAAGUGCACAAGGGAGCUUGACUGUGAGACUGACAGGUCGAGCAGGGACGAAAGUCGGGACUAGUGAUCCGGCACCUGCGAGUGGAAGCGGUGUCGCUCAACGGAUAAAAGGUACCCCGGGGAUAACAGGCUGAUCUUCCCCAAGAGUCCAUAUCGACGGGAUGGUUUGGCACCUCGAUGUCGGCUCGUCGCAUCCUGGGGCUGGAGUAGGUCCCAAGGGUUGGGCUGUUCGCCCAUUAAAGCGGCACGCGAGCUGGGUUUAGAACGUCGUGAGACAGUUCGGUCCCUAUCCUCCGCGCGCGUAGGAGACUUGAGAAGAGCUGUCCCUAGUACGAGAGGACCGGGACGGACGAACCUCUGGUGUGCCAGUUGUCAUGCCAAUGGCACGGCUGGUUAGCUACGUUCGGAAGGGAUAACCGCUGAAAGCAUCUAAGCGGGAAGCUCGCUUCAAGAUGAGGUCUCCCACCCCUUGAGGGUUAAGGCCCCCAGCUAGACCACUGGGUUGAUAGGCCAGAAGUGUAAGCCUGGUAACAGGUUCAGCCGACUGGUACUAAUAGGCCGAGGACUUC